CAGUCAAACGUCGUAAUCGUGAGGGAAUCUUUUGCCUAUCGGUAGGUGGCUAAAUUGGAUUGUCCUCCAACCACCAGGUGACGCGAGUGUCUUCGUGAGGACGAAAUAUUUGCCAUUUGUUUCAGAGACGCUGACUGAAAGUGUAUUCCAAAUUAAUUACGGAAUUGCGAUCUACAUUUUCAGCCAUGAAAUUGCAAUCUGGCAUAUUAUUUUACUUGGCCAAAUAAUGUGACGACGAGGGUGGAAACUGCUGUCAAAUGUCGGCCAUUGUUCGCUGUACCUAUACGGCUGUACGGUUCAUCUCGUGCAGAAACACUUCAGAGCUAGUAAAUUGAUGUUCAGGUCGGAGGAGGAGAUCCCAUUGCUCAACUGUUGCAGAAAUUGAGAACAUGACAAAGUCUGAGCUUCAUGGCUGUUAUAUCAUCAACAUGGUUUUGUUGCAGCCAUCUGGUGAAAGAUGUGAUCGAGUCAAGUUGAGCUGCAGCUGCUGCAUGCAGUUUAUCUAGCUGGUGUUAUCCCAAGUGUCACUGCAGGAGUAGGAGUUCAUGGUCAUUGUGAUGCUUAAGCUGUUUAUGGUGUUGCUGUUUGGUGUACAGCAGUGGUUUUGCAGUCCCUUUCCAGUUGAGAGAUGCUCUGAAAUGGAGCUCGUGCAGACUUGCAGUUCAACAACACACUAAAAAUGUGUCAUUUGCCUAUGUUGGUGUCCAUGCGUAUGCUGUGUUGAAAAGUUGGCUUAAAUAGUCAAUGUUGCCUGAUGGCUGUCGGUCUUGUUUUAUCGCCUGCAUUUUGUCGAUGUCGUCUCUUGCUACCUGUACCUGCGUUAAGUUUAAUCGUUUGCUGCCGUUCCAUAGACUUGAUCCAUUGGUGAAACUGAGGAGAGGUUGCUACGCGGACUUGCAAGGCGCAUGAUUCGAUGAAAUCUGUUGGAGGGUCAUGAGUCUAAGCUGGAAGCCUACCAUGAUACACUGCUCUCAUAAUAACUGCUCCUCAGCUCUCUUCGCUCUUUUUUCGGUUUCUCUUAACCAUGGCCGGGUAAUCUCCCUGGUCGAGUCAGUCGUGCAGCGUCUUCCACUGCUUGACUGGCUGCAGUUUCAACCGGACGGUCUGUUAAAAUAAGAAUUUAAAUCUAGAUCAUCGCCUCCUUUGAGCGGCCCGGACAAUCCUGAAACCUUUAGGGUUGCCAUUCCAUCGAGGCUUAAACGAGGAUGACGCGGAGGUGUUUCCUAUUGAGGGGUUUUGGUGACAAGGAGUCACUGAACGAAACGCUAAACCAAAUGAAAAAAAAAUAUAUUAAAAAAGCCAACGAUCCUUUAUAUAUCCGAGCCGAGUCAUUUCCGUCUACAUUCGGUGUGAAGAGCAAAACCAAAAUUUCAACACAUUUUACUGCUUAGCAACGAAAACAAAGCGAGUGUCAAAACAUUGUUUUACUUGCGCAUACUUUAUUGUGGCAGAAACGCGUUGGUCAUGUAACAGGGUGAAUUUUUUUUUCACUUUUGUUGAUGCAGCAUCAAACGACACGCGAUAGGUUCUGGCGGUAAUCAAAUAUUCAAGAUGAUAGACCUGUCAAUGUAAAAGGCAGGGUAAGGGUAGCAGGUAGCUCCUGUAAAUGUUAUUCAUUUAAGUUAUUAAAUAGCUGCUAGUAGGAUCUCAUUGUCGAUUUGCGGUUACAAAAUCCAUAGUCCUAGAGUUCAGGUAUUGUCAAUCAAUCAUUUGAUUUGCGUUUUAGAUACUUCUAAAUCAGUUGUGGAAAUACGAUCCCCCCCCCCCCGCUUCUCCUGGGUGUUUUCUUAGGAUCAUUGAAGUAAAUCUUUUAGUUAUGCGUUGUGAACGUAGCGGACGAACUCUGACAGUCUAUCGAGCUUAAGCAAUUGCGUCUUAAUUUCUUAUUUUGUUGAUUUUAUUCAACCGUUUAAUGAGAAGCUUUGAUUUGUAUUUUUUUAUAUU
rnacentral:lncRNA from 1 species